rnacentral:tRNA from 1 species
UCCGAUGUAGUCCAACAGGUAGUGACAGCUGACUGUUAAUCAGUGUGUUGGAGGUUCGAGUCCUUCCAUCGGAGCCA